CUGAUCGUCGCUUCAACCUUU
rnacentral:siRNA from 1 species